rnacentral:rRNA from 1 species
GUCCAGACUCCUACGGGAGGCAGCAGUGGGGAAUAUUGCACAAUGGGGGGAACCCUGAUGCAGCGAUGCCGCGUGGAGGAAGAAGGUUUUCGGAUUGUAAACUCCUUUUAUCAGGGACGAUAAUGACGGUACCUGAAGAAAAAGCUCCGGCUAACUACGUGCCAGCAGCCGCGGUAAUACGUAGGUGGCAAGCGUUGUCCGGAUUUACUGGGUGUAAAGGGCGUGUAGCCGGGCUGACAAGUCAGAUGUGAAAUCCGGGGGCUCAACCCCCGAACUGCAUUUGAAACUGUUGGUCUUGAGUAUCGGAGAGGCAGGCGGAAUUCCUAGUGUAGCGGUGAAAUGCGUAGAUAUUAGGAGGAACACCAGUGGCGAAGGCGGCCUGCUGGACGACAACUGACGGUGAGGCGCGAAAGCGUGGGGAGCAAACAGGAUUAGAUACCCCUGUAC